GAGGCACCCCUCCGGGGCAAGACUUGCUUCAGUGGGGCUUUGGUGCUCACUGAGUCCGCCCCCUAAGUGUGUCCUU
rnacentral:pre_miRNA from 1 species